CACGUAGGGUGCGAGCGUUGUCCGGAAUUAUUGGGCGUAAAGAGCUCGUAGGCGGUGUGUCGCGUCGGCCGUGAAAACCUGCAGCUUAACUGUGGGCGUGCGGUCGAUACGGGCAUCACUGGAGUUCGGCAGGGGAGACUGGAAUUCCUGGUGUAGCGGUGAAAUGCGUAGAUAUCAAGAGGAACACCUGCGGCGAAGGCGGGUUGCUGGGCCGACACUGACGCUGAUGCGCGAAAGCCAGGGGAGCGAACGGG
rnacentral:rRNA from 1 species